AUACGGAGGAUGCGAGCGUUAUCCGGAUUUAUUGGGUUUAAAGGGAGCGUAGGUGGAUUGUUAAGUCAGUUGUGAAAGUUUGCGGCUCAACCGUAAAAUUGCAGUUGAAACUGGGAGUCUUGAGUACAGUAGAGGUGGGCGGAAUUCGUGGUGGAGCGGUGAAAUGCUUAGAUAUCACGAAGAACUCCGAUUGCGAAGGCAGCUCACUAGACUGUUACUGACACUGAUGCUCGAAAGUGUGGGUAUCAAACAGGAUUAGAUACCCUGGUAGUCCACACAGUAAACGAUGAAUACUCGCUGUUUGCGAUAUACAGUAAGCGGCCAAGCGAAAGCAUUAAGUAUUCCACCUGGGGAGUACGCCGGCAACGGUGAAACUCAAAGGAAUUGACGGGG
rnacentral:rRNA from 1 species